GCCUAACUGAAGAAUCCUAAAUAGGACGAAACAUAGGUCUUUGAU
rfam:Schistosoma haematobium scaffold325_29, whole genome shotgun sequence.